rnacentral:rRNA from 1 species
AUUGAACGCUGGCGGCAUGCUUUACACAUGCAAGUCGAACGGUAACAGGCCUUCGGGCGCUGACGAGUGGCGAACGGGUGAGUAAUGCAUCGGAACGUGCCCAGUCGUGGGGGAUAACGCAGCGAAAGCUGUGCUAAUACCGCAUACGAUCUGCGGAUGAAAGCGGGGGACCUUCGGGCCUCGCGCGAUUGGAGCGGCCGAUGUCAGCUUAGGUAGUUGGUGGGGUAAAGGCUCACCAAGCCAACGAUCUGUAGCUGGUCUGAGAGGACGACCAGCCACAUUGGGGCUGAGACACGGCCCAGACUCCUACGGGAGGCAGCAGUGGGGAAUUUUGGACAAUGGGCGCAAGCCUGAUCCAGCAAUGCCGCGUGCAGGAAGAAGGCCUUCGGGUUGUAAACUGCUUUUGUACGGAGCGAAAAGGCUCCCUCUAAUACAGGGGGCUCAUGACGGUACCGUAAGAAUAAGCACCGGCUAACUACGUGCCAGCCGCCGCAGUAACAC